ACCGAUGGAUGGAAUGACUGGG
rnacentral:siRNA from 1 species